UUGCGCGCGCUUACAUGCCGGUUUGUAUGGGCCGGCGUGCUUGCGUGUGUCUAGUGCGUACGUGUUUUGUGAGCGUGUUUGUGUGGGUCACUGUGUGUGCGUGCGCGUGUUAGCGUGUCUGCCUGCAUGUAUGUGCGAUUGUUUGUGUUUAUCAAUGUGCGCGUGCGUGCCUUUGUGUCUGCGCUUUGAGAGUGCGUAUAUUUGUGUGCGCGCGAGUGCGUUUUGUGUGCGUGCGUAUGUAUUGCAUAAGGCCGGUAGAGUUUUACUCGCAAUAAAACUCUUCCAAUUUGGUGCAGCGAGUGUUGCCGCCUGAAAGCCGAGUUUGGUUUCAAGCCAACCUGGACAACUGCUGUAUGAGGCGCUGUUUCUCAGGAGGAUCAGUGGGAAGGCGUCAGGUCAUGCAGAUGAUAGCAUCAAUUUCACAAUGCCCAGCCUUGGUGCCCUCCAUUAAGAGCAAGCCACUUGCAUUCACCUUCAGGCAGAUGGUUGAUGUCUUCUAGGAAGCAGUUGGGAAGACUACAUUGAUGCAAGAUUCCAGCAAUGCCAUGCGCUGCAUUUAUUGGUCAAGAUGCUCAGAGAAUGGAGUCCCUGCACCUCGUGGUGAAACGUGAACAUUUUCUUUCUUUUGGAAAGCUAAACGUCAUUUGCUGUAUCAAUUGCAUUCUUGCAGCUCAGAUGUGUACUAUAUUUUUUCUAAUUUUGAAUCAAUUAAUAUUCACUGUUCAGUAUAAAAAUGACGUACAGUGUGAAGGACAAGGACUGCGAGAGAUGACAUACACUGCGCUGACUUCCAACAAUAUUUUAUUGCGUUGCCACAUCGUGUGUUUAUACACAAGAAGGGCCAUGCGCAGAAAAUGAAAGGCAGUCACAAGGGGUGUUCUAACAGCAAGUCAUUGUACUAAGAACAUGGUCACUAAAAAAAAAUCACAAUUUCUAUCUGUGGAGAUACAAGACUUCACUAGGGGUCAGCGUGAUAGAGGGGGCACUAAUGCACACACUACCCAUUUUUCUGGUGAAAUAAGCUUCAAUAAUGUACCGGGUGAGCUGUGUUUCGCUAGAACUUGCGUAUCUUCAAAGGGGGGCAUGCAGCGGCAGUCCCGGCAAUGAAUGCCCAAGUGGCCUUGAACAGUGUUAUGGACGUUAUAGUGCACUCUUAAACGAUCAUUUAGG